rnacentral:rRNA from 1 species
GUACGUAGGGCGCAAGCGUUGUCCGGAAUUAUUGGGCGUAAGAGCUCGUAGGUGGCUUGUCGCGUCGGGUGUGAAGCUUGGGCUUAACUCCAGGUCUGCAUUCGAUACGGGCUGGCUAGAGGUAGGUAGGGGAGAACGGAAUUCCUGGUGUAGCGGUGAAAUGCGCAGAUAUCGGGAGACACCGGUGGCGAAGGCGGUUCUCUGGGCCUGACUGACGCUGAGGAGCGAAAGCGUGGGGAGCGAACAGGAUAGAAACCCGUUGGUAGUCCAAGCACC